rnacentral:tRNA from 1 species
ACUGUUUUAGCAAAAUUAAUGCAUUAAAUUUAGAAUUUAAUAUUGUAAUAAUAAUUACAAACAGUA